rnacentral:tRNA from 1 species
CAAGGCAUGGCUGAAUAACUAAGCAUCUCACUUACACCGAGAAGAUAUCUGUGCAAAUCAGAUUGCCUUGA